AGGCCAUGAUGGGGGCACUAUCUUUGCAUGCUCUUGAACCGGUCCCAGGCUUCAAAUAGGGAUUUUGAGUCUAUCUGCUUAAAACUGGUAAUCAGGUUCCUCAUGUGGGU